CGCGACGACAGGUACUAAAGUAAUGAGUUCUUUACUUACAAACCCACGGGCAACGUUUACUCGACGGUACAUCACCAAAUACAGCUUCACCGAAAAGGCUGCCCGGUCCAACUGAUUCAUGUGACCGUGUCUCCCAGUAUCCCUCCCUGUACCAGUGCAUCUACCUUACUUUCUUCUGAAUGAUCAAAAUGAAAACGCAGUCAUCAGAGAGAGGCUUCAGCUCAGUCACUCAUCUCUGACAGACCUGAUCUUCAGUGAAAGUGAGCUCAGCGUAGGAGACGAGCUCCCAGAGGCAGCUGCUUCACACCGAGCGCGCGGUAUCCGUUCACCCCUUAAUGAAAGCUGCUGUAAUCACAUUUAGACAGGACGGUCGUAUCUCAUUAGCUCCCUGGUUCAAGAAAUGCUCUGCAACUCUUUGAUGUUCUGGAAGAUUCUCAUCGCUGGGUUCAGAACAAAGCCUGUCUUCCUCUAAGAUAAGGGGAGGACGGCGUUUCCUCCUGUUGUGCUGUGGAUGACAGUAAAACGUCUGAGGCGGCAAACCUUUGUAGUGCUACAAAACAAAGUAGAGAAGUCUAGUUUUGUGACUUUUGUAUUCAAGGGAAACCCGUUUGAUAGAAAUGGAAUUAAAUCACAGGGAAACCUGACAGACAGACACCAACGAUGGAGCGUUAAUCACAUCUGUUGUCAACUUUGAAUCUUGUGAUGUGUGAAAUAUGGAUAAUAUUGCUAGUUCUGCAUUUUGGUGCAGCGUCUAAAAAAACCCAUAAAAUCAAUGUAAAUUAUCGUACAUGUUCCCGAAAACAAGUGUCUUUACGCGGCAAUCCAAUACUGUGUAAUUGUACACAGUGGGGGUCCACCAGCGGUCUGUGUUUCUCUACUGUCCACGUUGUGUAUUACUUUCUGUACUGAAACAUGGAACUAGUGCCACACAUUUUUAAAAGCUCUACUCACGUUCUGUUCAUUUGGCUUAACUAUAAAGACAUUUAUCUAUUUAUUUAUAAGAGCCUUUAUUUUUUUAUUUUAUAUCUAAUGUAACAGAAUUAUAAAAAUGAAACAAUACCAGACACUGUAUUUAUUGGUUCUCAAAUAAACCACUUUAAAAUACUUUGAACAAGUGGGGUUUUUAAAGCCCCAUCUGCCCCCCCUCGGUCCAACAAAAAUUUUGACCAAUUACAUUUCAUAUUUAUUGACAUCAAAUACCACCCAACAAAAACGUACACAAAGUGCAAAAAGAGAAAAUAAAAUUGCAGCUGUGCCAUCAAGAACCUUUAAAAUAUCCUCCCGUCUGUCUGUCGUGCCCAAUCUGUAAUGUCUUCAUUCCCCAACAGGGGGGCCCGCCCCACACUUUGAGAAGCACUAAUAUAAACUGAGCUGCAGGACUGGAUUUUAAUUUAAUUUAAUAGUGUUUUUUCUAACCUGAAGCACACAUUUGCCCUGAGGCUACAGGACAAACUCAGCCGUCAGCUCUGCAACAGCAUCCUGAGGCCAAUGAUGCUGAUUCUUCUUUGAUGGUCCUGACGUUCCAAAACUCUCCAAAGGCACUGUCUGUUAAAAUUGUCCAAUGUCUGGGCUCCCUGUGGGGAUCGUACUAACCAUAUUAAGUCAACGUGCCAACGUGGGGUGAAUGGAUGUAUGAAUCAGGAGGUAGUUGCUCACUGGUGUCAAAAGAACUUGCGUGGCACUUUUCUGACAUUUUUCAAGGCAUACCUGGCACUUGAUAAGGCCCCAAUCCAAUGUUGUGUUUAAGACAGGAUCUUGUGUUUUAUGCACUUUGGCUCUUGCUGACAAGGCUGCUGUCUGCAGAUAACACAGAGCCUGCCAGAGAGCAGUUGCAGGCAGGCUAAAGGAUGGGGAAAAAGAAAGAAAAAAGAGAGAGACCAAGGGUUGAAGGAAGGGGCUAACGCUUAUUUUUCUUGACUCAUUUUAGACUGUCUACAGGGCUUCUGUCACACAUGGGAGCUUCCUACAUUGGCAAAGAUUAAAAGGGACCAACGUUAUCCUGCCCUCAGCAGAACAACUGCAGGGAGCAAUAAACCAAACACACAGGCCUUCCUCAUGCAUACCUGUGAGGCUCUUUCCCAGCCAGCCACGGUUUUCCCACAGUUAGGAGUGAAGAAAACAAAAACAAGAAUGACUUCUUCUAAAUGUUUUAAUUCAAACUUGGGUCGUUGGAGAUCUUGUAUAAAACAACAUUCAAAUAUUUUACGCUCUACAGUAUAUAUGAAAAGAUAGUUUGCUGGUUCAAUGCCUGUCUUUCUGUCUAGUGUUUGCAUGUUCCUUCUGUGUGGGGACAUGAUACUUCAGGUAUGGAAACAUGCAGGAUUAGUUUAGAUAGUAAAUUAAUAAAUUACAGAUAGA